rnacentral:lncRNA from 1 species
AACAGUGCAGAUGUGGUUUCUUUUGCUGAAAUUGAAUUAACAAGAAAAAUAAGUAUUUUUGCUUUUGAGAAUGUUGGUGUCUUCAUCAGCCUAAGAGAAAAUCAGAACUCCUGAGGAACAGAGUUAGUUCAUUGCUCCUUUCAUUCUGCAUGUUCAGCACUGAUGGAGCUACCUGGGAUAUCUAUCUGCAGCAGAGGUGCCAAGAAAUUUCAGUGGAACCAUCCCGCCAAACACACAGUCUCUUCCAAGUCUCCAGACUCCUUCAGCCAUCCUGGCCCUGGGAACCUCCAGAAGGCUGCGGCAACGAUGCAGAACAGUCAUUGACUGUGUUCAUCUGCUUUUGCUCAACACCAUUGUACUGGUGUGAUGCCAGUUGGGGGGCUGAGCUGUUCAGCUUUUGUCAGGCAGAAGAAAGCUCUAGGGCCUUCUCAUCCUUCCCGGCCUCUCAGUGGAUCCAGCGGAGUUCUGAGCAGGGGAUAUAUAGCAAGUUGCACCACGGAACUUGUGGUAGAGAUUUCACAUGCAGUUCUGAGGCACUCAUCAACAUGAUGUUAAAUGAAAAAUUAAUAAUAAUCUCUAAAACACAAACCCACAUGAAACACAAGUUAAGAUGACCAGUAUUUUCUUAAGAUGAACUAAUUUCUGAUUCCUUUUGCUAAACCGUUGGUGCAGCAAGUUUUUCUUUGGCACCUGGUCAAAUAUCAUCGCUUAAUCCAGCUUCAUUUAUUCAUUUCACAUAAUUAUGACUAUGGAUUAUGAUGACUUCGGAGUUCAAAGUUGCUACAAUUUGUCUACAAGGUUACUGAGAGAUGUAUUUUCAAAGAUUGAGCUUUUCUAACAGGGAUACUGAGUGGUUGUCAGGCUGCAUUUAGCAAGAGAGUAAAAUAAUUUUUUUUGCAAAUACUGGGUGAUUGCUGGUGACUGCACAAUACUGGCAAAAAGGAAGAACCAGGAAAGCAGGAAGAACAGGAGUAGUUAAAAUCCUGAACCAGUGACAUUCUCCAAAGCCUGACAUGGCCGUGGGCUGGCAGAGGAGUGGCAAUGGGACAUGGGCAGCCUUGGGCUGAGAGUUCUGGAGAGCAAACCAGGACACAGCACUGCAGACCAGCUGUGGCUGCAGCCCCCUCCCAAGUACCUUACACAGUGAGCGAUCUAUGGCUGAGCUUCUAAUAGCGUACUGUAAGAGCUGUGGAAAAUGGAUUAUAUGUAUUCCAUUAAAAGCAUCAGUUUGAUUUACUCUUUAGAGAAAAGUACAAGAAAUAGCACUCUACCUUCUCUGAAUCCAGUGGCAAAAUAUUCAUUGGCCUCAUGAACAGCAUCAAGCCUUUUUCUUCAAAUAUUGAAUCACGCCACAAGAACAUAGAGAAACUCUAUGGCUGAUAUAUUUUGUGAAGAAAGACGUUCCAAUUUCUGGGGUAAGUACCUAAGCCCUCUUCUGCAAGAAGCUGAGUGAUGCUCCCUGUCAGGAACGC